rnacentral:misc_RNA from 1 species
CAUCAAUUUAAUUACUGAUCUUUUACUUGGAUCAAAGUGCACAGAAUCACAUGGUGGAUUUAUUUUAACAAGAUUUCGUAUAUAAAAGAAGUAUACAGAAUCACAAUCAUCCUAAAAUAAAAGAAAAAAUUAAUUACAAGCUUGGAAGAGUUAAAUCUUGAUCGACCGAUGCUAAACCACCCUGACGGUGACGGUAAUAAGCUUGUACACGCAUCAUAACCCAGAAGCUGAGCCAGAAUUCAAGAUAGAAAAGCACAGAACCGAUCAAGUAGAAGAUCCCAAUCAUCAAAUUAUGAUUAUCUAAAUAAACAUCCAUUGCACUCUGGAUGCCAGUGAGAUAUUUUCCCGGAGUAUUUAUUGAAGCAAAUACGCAGAAG